rnacentral:lncRNA from 1 species
AUUUUUAUCCUUGAAUUUGCUUAGGUCAUCAGAAAUCUAGACACCUGACAGAUAGGAUAUAGAUUUGAUCAUAUGUGUUUAUUCUGUUCUACAUCUGUGGUCGUGGAGCCUAAAGUAAAAGCUGAUCAAAUUCUAUUAAAGUUUUCAUCCUCAAAACUGACAAUGCUAUGGAAAUUUUGUGUGGACUUUACUAACUGCAGAGUUGAUGAGGCACCCGAGAGUCAGCAAGAAAGAGAAAGAAGUCACGCAUGAAAUUUAGUCUCCAUGGUUAUGGUCUCCAAACCAAACUUCUUAAGGCAGUGGAUGCACGACAACAUAUUGUCCACUGGAACUGCAUUUUGCCACCCUCUCCUGCACCUGGCCUGUGCUGACAUUCGUGCCACUGAGCUGUUGGACUUUCUCAGCUCCCUGGUCCUGCUCAUCAGAUCCCUCUCACUCCCGGUGGUCUCCUGCAUUUACAUCAUCUCCACCGUUCUGAGGUCAACGCAAAGCCUUUGCCACCUGUGCCUCUCACUUCACAGUGGUCUCCAUGGGCUGUGGGAGCUCCAUCUUCGUCUAUGUUCGCCCCUCACAGAAGAGCAGCCUGCACUUCAACAAGAUCCUCUGUAUCCUCUCUGCGUCAUCACAGAACUUCCAUGGAGCUGA